rnacentral:rRNA from 1 species
CAGUAGCCGCGGUAAUACAGAGGGUGCAAGCGUUAAUCGGAAUUACUGGGCGUAAAGCGCGCGUAGGUGGUUUGUUAAGUUGGAUGUGAAAUCCCUGGGCUCAACCUGGGAACUGCAUCCAAAACUGGCAAGCUAGAGUAUGGUAGAGGGUGGUGGAAUUUCCUGUGUAGCGGUGAAAUGCGUAGAUAUAGGAAGGAACACCAGUGGCGAAGGCGACCACCUGGACUGAUACUGACACUGAUGUGCGAAAGCGUGGGGAGCAAACAGGAUUAGAUACCCCUGUAGUCCCUGUCUCUUAUAC